GGGAGGAUCUCUUGAGCCCAGGAGAUCGCGCCACUGCGCUCCAACCUGAGCGAGUGAACGAGACCCUGUCUCAUAAAAAAAGAAAACACACAGGAUGCGCCUAGCUAACACCGCCAAUUGGUCACUGCCAGCCGCGAUUCCAUAUGGGGAGCUUAACAAGUGGUGACCAAGAAGCAGAGUCCCUUAGCCGCUCUGUGACCUCGCCAACGGUAUAAUUUCGUCUGCAGACUUGAACCUGAGCCAUAGCCAUGAACGUUCCCAGGCACAGAUGACAGCAUCUAGGUUGUUGCUCAAAACACAGAAAGAAACUGGACCCAGCCUGAGCCAGAUUCCUUAAACCCUCAUAUAAACUCCAUUCGACAACCCCCUCCCCAUGGACAUACCUAGAGAGAACAUUCAUUUCUCUCACCACCCGUUGCAAGAACUGCUGCAGCCCACUCUGUACAAAAUCCCUGCUAAUAAAUGCUCUCGGUGCAUUA